AAUUAAAAUUUUCAUCCAUUUUCUAAAGUUAAAAAUUAGCAUGAUUAACGAAAUAACUAAACAAUUAUACAUGGCAUGCCACAUAUAUCUCAUGUCGACGUAUAAGGACCAGAUUUUUAACAAUAGAAAUAGAUGAAAUUUUUAAUA
rfam:Gossypium hirsutum cultivar TM-1 chromosome 13, whole genome shotgun sequence